rnacentral:tRNA from 1 species
AGGUAUUCAAUCUAACUAAGAUAAUUGAUUUCGACUCAAUCAAUUAUGGUGUAAAUCCAUAAAUACCUU